CAGCGACACUGUGUGUUGUUGGGUAGGGGAGCGUUCUGUAAGCCUGUGAAGGUGUGUCGUGAGGCAUGCUGGAGGUAUCAGAAGUGCGAAUGCUGACAUAAGUAACGAUAAAGCGGGUGAAAAGCCCGCUCGCCGGAAGACCAAGGGUUCCUGUCCAACGUUAAUCGGGGCAGGGUGAGUCGACCCCUAAGGCGAGGCCGAAAGGCGUAGUCGAUGGGAAACGGGUUAAUAUUCCCGUACUUGGUGUUACUGCGAAGGGGGGACGGAGAAGGCUAUGUUGGCCGGGCGACGGUUGUCCCGGUUUAAGCGUGUAGGUGUGUGUUCCAGGUAAAUCCGGUUCACUUUAACACUGAGGCGUGACGACGAGGCACUACGGUGCUGAAGCAACAAAUGCCCUGCUUCCAGGAAAAGCCUCUAAGCAUCAGGUAACAUCAAAUCGUACCCCAAACCGACACAGGUGGUCAGGUAGAGAAUACCAAGGCGCUUGAGAGAACUCGGGUGAAGGAACUAGGCAAAAUGGUGCCGUAACUUCGGGAGAAGGCACGCUGACACGUAGGUGAAGUGAUUUACUCAUGGAGCUGAAGUCAGUCGAAGAUACCAGCUGGCUGCAACUGUUUAUUAAAAACACAGCACUGUGCAAACACGAAAGUGGACGUAUACGGUGUGACGCCUGCCCGGUGCCGGAAGGUUAAUUGAUGGGGUCAGCGCAAGCGAAGCUCCUGAUCGAAGCCCCGGUAAACGGCGGCCGUAACUAUAACGGUCCUAAGGUAGCGAAAUUCCUUGUCGGGUAAGUUCCGACCUGCACGAAUGGCGUAAUGAUGGCCAGGCUGUCUCCACCCGAGACUCAGUGAAAUUGAACUCGCUGUGAAGAUGCAGUGUACCCGCGGCAAGACGGAAAGACCCCGUGAACCUUUACUAUAGCUUGACACUGAACAUUGAGCCUUGAUGUGUAGGAUAGGUGGGAGGCUUUGAAGUGUGGACGCCAGUCUGCAUGGAGCCGACCUUGAAAUACCACCCUUUAAUGUUUGAUGUUCUAACGUGGACCCGUUACCCGGGUUGCGGACAGUGUCUGGUGGGUAGUUUGACUGGGGCGGUCUCCUCCUAAAGAGUAACGGAGGAGCACGAAGGUUGGCUAAUCCUGGUCGGACAUCAGGAGGUUAGUGCAAUGGCAUAAGCCAGCUUGACUGCGAGCGUGACGGCGCGAGCAGGUGCGAAAGCAGGUCAUAGUGAUCCGGUGGUUCUGAAUGGAAGGGCCAUCGCUCAACGGAUAAAAGGUACUCCGGGGAUAACAGGCUGAUACCGCCCAAGAGUUCAUAUCGACGGCGGUGUUUGGCACCUCGAUGUCGGCUCAUCACAUCCUGGGGCUGAAGUAGGUCCCAAGGGUAUGGCUGUUCGCCAUUUAAAGUGGUACGCGAGCUGGGUUUAGAACGUCGUGAGACAGUUCGGUCCCUAUCUGCCGUGGGCGCUGGAGAACUGAGGGGGGCUGCUCCUAGUACGAGAGGACCGGAGUGGACGCAUCACUGGUGUUCGGGUUGUCAUGCCAAUGGCACUGCCCGGUAGCUAAAUGCGGAAGAGAUAAGUGCUGAAAGCAUCUAAGCACGAAACUUGCCCCGAG
rnacentral:rRNA from 1 species